GUAAGGCCCACCUGAGUGCACUAGAUUGCAGUCGCUAAUCCUCUGGUUAGCAUAGUUCUGGGCGUAGGCAGCUACAGUGUCGUUCCAUGUUAUAGACCCAACGCCAACUUGGGCCCGCGCUGCAUUGUGAGCAUCGACGUAGUCCUGUGGAGAGUUCUGGGCACAGCAGGUGUGAGCUAGGGCUAACCCCAUGAGACCAACAAGGAGCGCCAUUGAAAUCUUACACAACCCCAUCUUUUAGUUUCUUUGAUGACAAGUGAGGGCUGGGUUGAAGGGUAUUUAUAGGGGAAAUAGAAGCAUCAUAAUCUCCAAGUCUUGCUCCCCCUAACUUCCCCCUUUGAUACAGUCUGUGUGGCGGCCUUCACACGUAAAGAUCAACAACUGAUAAAAUAGUUGGCACUAAGAUCAAAAUGACUUCCAUGCAUGUUCAAUUUUUUCCUAAGAAGCAAUCAACAAUACAUGAAAACGACUUCCAUGCAUGUUCUUUCUUUUAUUCAAAAUAAAACAGCUCUUUGAAAUCACAGUUUUGCAGUUCAAAAAAUCGGUUUUUAUUAAUAUUUAUUUUUAAAAAUUUACCCUAAACGCUUCAAUUAGAAAAUGCGAGCUUUAUAAAAUUCAAAAGACAAAAACACCUUAAAAUCCAUAUUUUUCUAAAUGGGAUUUGAGAGUAGUUGUAAAAAUAUAAAAAAAUUUAAAAUUACAUCAGCCCCUAUUUUUAUACAAAUAAGCAAUUUUAAAGUGCUUUUUUUUUUCUUUUCUUUUGUUUGAAAAUGUCAACUUAAUUAGUCUAUUUUAUAUAUAUAAACCUUUGAUCACGGACGAAUUUACACGUGCUUCUUCAAAUUCUGCAAAUACGUACAAAGUAUCCUAACUUAAACCUCUGAUGAAGGACGAGCUUACAUGUGCUUCUUCAACUUCUGCAAAUACAUACAAAUUAUCCUAACCGGUUUGCUUACUUGACUGAACUAAGUGUUUGGUCUUUUAAUGUUAGAUUUCGAGAUUUCGUGGAAAAGUGGUUAAGACAGAGUUUUGGGACGGUCAUCAAAGUUGAAUAAUUUAUCAUGUGACACAUUAUUUGAGCAAACAAGUUGAUAGCGUAUGUGAUUUUUUAUGCUCGUUGUCAACCUCAAAUCCAAAAUAAAUAUAUGACUUUGAAAUGGUAAAAUAUUCAGUAUGAUUUUCUUCUUUACCCUUAUGCUAGGCUAUUAUCGUGGGUUGAUGGCGCGAGGUACUAGGGUCAUUGUAAUUUCCUGAUGUACUCGCCUCCUCAACUGAAAAUGAUGCUUCCUUCCUUCGCCCUACAAAAGAUGUCUGGACAGGGGGUCCGGACACACUCUCUAAAGCCUUUGUUAGUUUGAUAAUCCAGCAAAUUGAUAUUCUUGGGCCCUUUUCUUUUAGGAAUGCUUAACCUUUUUUUUUUUUCGACUGGGUCGUCGGGGGCCUUUUAUAGUGCUUGGAGCCUCGUCACUUCGAAGGUGUGAAGACUCUUUGACUUUUGCGAUCAUGAUGGUAUUCAGAGGGUGACAGAGCCAUCAUUAUCCUGCAGGCGGCUGACAGAGAUCGUUGGGGGGAUGAUUUGUCAUCACCCUUGUCUUUUCACUCUGUAGGCGGUGUAGGGCAGGUCGUGGCAGGUCGCCUGAAGAGACCCAAGAAGGUCCAUCGAGUAUGCUUUUGGCGAAAUGAGUAAUGAUUGCCCACAAAAUACGGCCAGGAAUUUUGUUUGGGACGCCAGCUAUUAGGUCCGGACUGGACAUCCACAUAGGGGGUGGGGAGGCCACAUGUCAGUCCAUGUGAUCGUCCGGACAGGGGGUGAGACAUGCCAGGUGUCCAAUGGAGGAGUGCCUUGUGAGGCCGUCACGUGUACGCUUAGGCAGUCCCUACAGGUAUCACUAGUGGUUUCGACUAAUGGUAGCAAAAGAAGAACAAAGGUACUUGAUAGGAUGCUUAUUCCAACAAGUUAAUAUAUAUAUAUAUUUUAAUCAAAUGAACGUUAUUAGAAACAUUUUCAAAACUUUAAUUUAUUUAUUUUUUUAUUUUUUAUUUUUAAAUUUACAUUUAAACAAUAUUGGAUUCUCUAUGAAAGGGUUUAAAAGUACAUUUGAAAGUGAUUUUGAUAAGUGUUUUUAGUCUUUCUAAUACUUAAAAAAUAAAAAAUUUCAAGUGUUAGAAAAACUAAAAGCACUUUCUAGAAUCAUUGCUAAAUGCACUCUAAAUACAAUUAAAAGUGUUUUUACAAGAAUUACUCCAAAUCACAUUAAUAAAAUUGUGAUGAUUUUUGGUGAAAAUUUAUAUGAUGUUAGAUGUAAUUCUUUUUUCAUCUAAGGUUCUAGAUAUUAUACUGUUUGAUUGGAUAAGAUAUGACAAAAAGAUAUCAUGAUUUCUAAUGAGAUAUGACUUUGGAUAUUUUAUCAAAUGAAAAUGGUAUCUUAAGACAUUAUAUUAAAUAAGAUUUGUUAUGAUCAUAUUUAAUUUAUAAAAUAAAUAAAUGGAAUGUAUAAUAUAUUGCAUUUUAAUGUUCAAUAUUUUUUCUAAAAUAAAAAUUAUAUUGAUUCCUAAUGUUUGUUUUUAAAUAAAUAUGAGAUUGUUGUAAAAUAAAAAAAUGAGAAGAAAAAAAGAGGAUGGAAUAAAUAUGAAUACUCAGAGAAAAAUAGAAUAUUAUUUCAUUAGCAAGUCUCCUCAUUUUAUAGAGAGUUAGGAAGAGAUUUGUAUCAAUAUGGAUAAUCAUCCAUAAGUUGUCACAAUCAGAAAAAUUCUCAUAUUUUAUAACACUCCUCUGUAGAUGAUCAUAAGAAUAAUAUACCUCCUUAAACCUUCCUAGAAAAAAUCUUAUGAGAAAAACCUUUGUAAAGUAAAAAAAGUACAAAAUUCUUUAGAAUUAUUACGAUUGCCUUAUUAAAAACCUUGCCAAGAAAACCUAGUGAGAUAAAAUCUGGAUGAAGGGAAAAAACAUAUAAUGUAGUGAUAUCCUUAUCAAUUUGUUUCCACUCAUGUUGGUAUGAUUAUAUUUUCUCUUGUAACUCAAUAUCGAGAUCUUUGAGUUGGCGUAUUUCAAUGUUAUAUAUGAGUUUCUUGAGUGUUGCAGUUGACAAUGCGUUUGUGAAUAGGUCUACUAAAUUGUCAUUAGAUCUUACUCAUUGAACAAUCAUUUCACCACUCUUCUAGAGCUUAGAAGUGUAAAUGAAUUUGAGUGUUAUAAACUUAGUUCCAUCACCUUGAAUGCAUCAUUCUUUAAUUUGUGCAAUGCAUGCAAUAUUAAUAUCAUGUAACAUUGUUGAAUUGUCUUUAAUGGAAGAUAGUCCGUAUGAUUCUUGAGUAUAUUGGAUUACAAAUCUCAACCACACACUUCUUGACUUUCUUCAUGGAUUGCACGUAUUUCUAAAUGAUUUGAAUAACAACUAUUAUAAGUUUUAUUGAUCACCAUGAUAUUGCAGUAUUACCAUAGGUAAACAAAUAUCCUAUUUGAGACCUUGCCUUGUAAGGCAAUCACCUUGGGGGAUGGGAGGGAUGAAGAGGAUGAUGGUCACUUUUUGAAAAAAAUUAAACUAUAUGAAAGCAAGUGACAAGUAUAUCCAAUUAAAUAAUAAAUACAAUGAAAAGUAAUUGCAUAUAAAGUAAAAAGAUAAGGAAAAGAGAUUGCAAACUUAAGAGUUUUAUAGUGGUUUGGAGUAACUCGACCUAUGUCCGCUCUCCUUAAUGUCAUGGACUUAGUCUUUUUCUAAGCUCGUGCGGCACUUAGACAAGUCAAGACACUUGAUCUUGCUAAGUCAGCCUUACUCCCAAUGCUUAGCUUUCUAGGCUAAGAUGCCUACGACUCGGAAGCUUUAAAAGGUGUAGUAGGCGAUGCUUAAAGAAUGAAAGCUUUUGUUACUCAAAGGAAGCUUUACAAGUGCUUUGGGAACUCACUUGCUUGGUUGGUUAGGUUCUUGGGUGGUGCCUUGGCCAAAUGAGGGCCUCACCUAUUUACAGGCAUCAGUGAAACUCUCUGGAACCUUGGAGGGUUCCUUACAACUUAAGAAUAAUCUAGAACUUCCUACACAAUUCUAUGUACAAACCUAUGUAUAAGAAUAUACAAGAGAUUCCUAGAAUUCUCUAGAAAGCCUUAGACUCCUCUCAUACCUUCCACCAUAGUGUAGAGAUGUGUGGACAUCUCUAGGCGUCUCUAGAACCUUCCAUACUCUUCUCACCAAUGGCUUAGUGUAGAUGGCUCCAGGAGUCUCCAAAAGCUUUCUGUCCUCUAUAUAACCCCUAUGGGGAGGGUCAUUUGAAACAUCUUAUGACACUCCCCCCCACCUAUGCCGUCGACGUCCUCAUUGUUGCCACUUCUUGAAACUUCUCGAUGAGUUUCCAGAACCUUCUAAAGGAAUCCGCAUGUUCCCAGCUUACCUGCCUCUUAGGUAGUCCUUUCCGUAGGACUAGAUACUCUAUCACAAGAGAGACCCCUUGUCUCCUGGUAACCCAUUGAACCAAGAUAUUUUUCACCUCCUUUUCCCGUGAGACCUCGGAUGGAUGCAGACCCUUUCACUUUUGAUGCUUGGAGUGCUGCUUCCUCUUACCCAUCGAAUUCACCUUUCCCUUGUUGACCUUGUCCAUGUGUGUGUGAGCUACCUCAACUCGCUCUCCUUUUGCCUCAUUUACUUGCACCCCUGAUAGUAAGGAGAUCUUAGGUGUACUAGGCUUUGGGUUGACUUAGAGGGCACCUAGUAGCUGCACCAAGCCCAUAUGUGCUUCGUGUUCCUACUCCCUCUCCUCGAUCAUACCAUUGAACGCCUUCUUCUUUGGAUAAUCCCAUGCCCAAUGUGGACCAUCACAUAGGAAGCAUUUGAUUUUAGGUGUAAACUCUUUCCUUUCCUCCUUACCCCUUCCUUCCUGGACGUUAAGUGUCUUGCUUGAUCCCAUUCUAGGAGCAUUGUGGUCCCUUGAAACCUCAUCUCUCCCACCUAUGGCGUGGCUAUCCUCCAAAGACUCAACCUUGAAGGAGUCUCCCCUCUUGUAAUCCGUUAAAGACUCUGCUAUUGCCAUAGCAAUGGCUAAGUCUUGAACGCCUUGGCGCCUUAAUUCCUACUCAGCCCACCCUUGCAGGUUAUCCAUGAAGUUGAAUAGCAACUCCUCCUUAGUCAUGUUAGGAAUCUUAAGCAUGAGCGAAGAGAAUUCCUUGACAUAGUCGCGUAUUGAGCCUGUGUACUUAAGACACCUCAUGUUUUUCCUAGCUAGGUAAGCCACAUCUUCGGGGUAGAACUGCCUCUUGAAGUUCUCCCACGUCUCUAUGGUACAAAUGCCUUUCUCCAUAUUGGCGAACCUCCGACGCCACCAUAGAGUAAUUAUGUGAGUAAGGUAGAGGGUUGCAGUCCUUACCUUAACUGCCUCAUUAGUCAAUGCGAUAGCCUCAAAGUAUCGCUCCAUAUGCCAUAAGAAGUUGUCCAACUCCUUGGCAUCCCGUUUGCCACUAAACCCUUAUGGCUUCGACACCUCCAUCCUAAAUGCCUCUUGUGUGGCCAUCACUCGUGCCAACAUAGCAGCCUUGUAGAUGGCUAACUCCUACCUAACCUCCUGGUCUGGAGACUCAAUUCGAGUGGCCAAGGCCUCUAUCCUUGACUCCAUGCUAGCAAGCAUGCUCAAGACCUUUUCUUGGAAGGACACAAACUCCUCAUGUGACACUGGCUGAACCUAUGAGACUAGCACCCCCUCACGAAGGUCUUGGAUCUGCUCCCUUAAAUCCUCUAAGCCCUUCUCCAUGCCUUGCUCGAUCAAGUCCAACCUCUCCUGAGUGUCUGCCAUGGCUAGCUCUAUCUUAGCUAACCUUACCUCCAUGUUGCCAACAACAUAACGAGAUUUAUCCUUCUUGCCCCUGCCACGUGCAUCAGGUUCGAUCUCCCUCCCAUGGGUUUGCUCACUAGUCUCAUCCAAGUUGGAGCCUGACAUGCUUCAUUUACUAUGCCCGCUUUGUAGCAGCGCUUUGAUAUCACUUGUCACGGACUUAGUCUUUUCCUAAGCUUGUGCAAUACUUAGACAAGUCAAGACACUUGAUCGUGCUAAGUCAACUCUCAAUUCUUAGCUUUCUAGGCUAAGAUGCUCAUGAAUCGAAAGCUUUACAAGUGCUUUGGGAACUCACUUGUUUGGUUGGUUAGGUUCUUGGGUGGUGCCUUGGCCAAAUGAGGGCCUCACCUAUUUAUAGGCACCAAUGGAACUCUCUAAAACCUUGGAGAGUUCCUUACAACUCAAGAAUAAUCUAGAACCUCCUACACAAUUCUAUGUACAAACCUAUGUACAAGAAUAUACAAGAGAUUCCUAGUAUUCUCUAGAAAGCCUUGGACUCUUCUCAUGCCUUCCACCAUAGUGUAGAGAUAUGUGGACAUCUCUAGGCGUUUCUAGAACCUUCCAUACUCUUCUCAUCAAUGGCUUAGUGUAGAUGGCUCCAGGAGUCUCCAGAAGCUUCAUGCCUUCUAUAUAACCCCUAUGGGAAGGGUCAUUUGAAGCAUUUUGUGACAUUAAGUUCCUAAUUGAAUGAGGGUUCCACUAUUUCAAGACUUUCAACACAAGCCUCCAAGCAUUACAAUUGGAUUAUGGUUCCAAUCAACCUUCUUGGAUUUAUGACUCCAAGUACUUUCUUGUAUUAUGGUUCUAAGCACCCAUAACAAUCCUUAAGAGAUACCUUACUUUUAAUAAUCUCUCAAGUGAUACUCCACACUUGAGAUACCUCACACUUAGAUUUUUUUUCUUCUCAAAGGUUUACAAGAAAUGAUAGGAAAUAUUUUCACAAAAUACUGAUAUAAAAUUUAGGUGUAAAUGAUACAAAAUAAACAAAGAUUAGGUGUAUUCAUGGAUAUGCAAGUUUAAAAACAAAGUGUACUCAAUUUAUAAAUCUUACUCACCAAAUCAAAGAAAGAUGGAGCCUUUAAAUAGAGUUUGGAAGCCCAAACUAGCUGUUAGACAAGUUUAGGGGUUGGCUAGUCGAGUAACCGACUUGAUCGAUUCACUAACUAUUAGCAUUUAAUAUUCUAGAAAAUGAUAAUUGGAGUUUAAGCCCUUAAUUGGUUGGGCAACCGGUUCAACUAAACUAGUUUGGCCUCAAUUGGUUGCACCUUAGCUAUUGGAAAUCAAAGGUGCACAAAAUGCCCCUUGAUCAAUUGGGUCCAAUUGGCUCAAUUGUUGCCUUAAACCCUCGAUUGGUUGCACUAGAAUGCUUAAAACUCAUUUUUGAGAUCUAGAACCUCCAAAACCUUUUGUAGAAAUUUAAAAACCUUUUAAAGAUAUUUUAGAAAUCAUUUGGUUCAAGGUUUUGAUUGAAAAUGUGAAAUCAUCCCAUUAUAAAAGAAUUUAAAACAAUUUAUUACUUGGAUGAUUUCAUUUGGUUCAAGGUUUUGAUUGAAAAUGUGAAAUCAUCCCAUUAUAAAAAAAUUUAAAACAAUUUAUUACUUGGAUGAUUUUUGGUGCUUAAGUAAAAGUGAAAUGAAUGAAAAACCUAGCGCACUCAUAACCUUACAAAGAGAUCUUAGACAAUCUUUCUCUUUGAGAUUUUUUUUUCUUAAUUUCCCUUGUAUAUAAUAUAUCUGUAGACCCUCAAUUUUGUCCCUCGACACUGGCAUUUAUCCUUCAAGUGUCACAUCCACCCAUCGUUCGCAUAUGGCACCACUAGGGCCCCUUUUGGGCUUAGUCGGUGUCCGAGACUCGUGUGGGUUUGUCUGUGGUCCAUUGUGGUGCAUAUGUGGUUCAUUUUGGAGGGUCACCACGGCCAUUUUCCUAGUCGUUCACAUCACGCUAUAGGAAGGAAGUGGGGUCAUCCUGAUGUUUUAGCUUAGUUGGAGUUUAUAGGGGCAUGUUGAGGUUCGAAGCACUCGGGCUUGUUUUGAUCGUAUCUCCCUCAUCCAAACUCGGAAUCAAGAACCGUUUCUUUUUAUGGAUUCCUUAUUCUUCCAGGAACAUUCUGUAAAAUUUUCAAAAUUUUUUGCAACCGUUCGGCUGGUUGGCAACCGGUUCAGCCGGUUCGGCCGGUUCAUCAAGUCAGCCGGUGUAGAACACUGAUUUUUGGUAAUUGUUUUGAUCAUAUCUCCCUCUUCCGAACUUGGAAUCAAGCACCAUUUUUUUUAAUGGAUUCCUCACUCUACUAGGAACAUUCUGUCAAAUUUUCAUAUUUUUUUUCCAUCGGGUCGACCAGUUGGCAUCCGGUUCGGCCGGUUCAGCCGGUUCAUUGAGUCAGCUGAGGUAAAACACUAAUUCUAGUAAUUUUGAGGCCCAAAUCCUACAUGGCCUAGGCCCGUAAGCUCCAGAUCGGUUUUGGGCAAUGUUGUGGGUCCAUUUUGGGCCUUGGUUUGGGUUCCUUGCAGCCCACCACGAAUCCAUAUGGAUUCUUGGUGGUGAAGCAAGCUGAAAACUGAAGGAGUGAGCUGGCCUUGUAAGUUUAAGAGAAGUAAUGAGGGGUGUGGUUCCCAUGCUGAUGAAGGGGAUUUUGGUGCUGAAGGGGAUGAAGGGGAUUUUGGUGCUGAAGGGGAAGGAAUCCAGGAGGCUCAAAUGUUAAGAGGGGAUGAGUAUAAAAGGUGCAAUGAUAGGAGAGCAAAGGAGAUGAGGGGACAUUUUGGAGAGGGGAAAUUUUGCUGGUGAGAAAAACAAAAGGUCAGUAGCAUCUUCUGAGUUGAGAGCGUGGGGGAAAGCUUCAGCACUAUGGUUUUUUAAAGAGGAGAGUGACAGCAUCUCAGUUUUGGAAGUCAUCAUCUGCAUACACAGAUCAUAUUUGGUGGAGAUUCUAAGGUAAGCAUGCUGAAUUUUCUUUACUUACAGUUUAUCUUCCUCGUCUUCAUAUACUUUUUCUCCUUCCUCAUCAUCUUUUCUUCCCUUUGAUAUGAAGAUUGUAUUGCUUGGGUGUGGAUAAUAAAGGUCACACAUGAUUGUUGUUGUUUGCUUCCUUAAUCACUUAGGAACUUUCUGACCGAAUUUGGGAUUUUUUACCAACCGACUGAACCGGUUCAACCGGUUCAGCACCAUAGCUGGCAGCCUCUGUCAGCCAUGAAGAACAUUUGUCUUUCUUUGUCUAGUUCUCACUCAUCCGGGCUCGGAAUUGAGAACCGUUUCUUUUGUUUGCUUCCUUAAUCACUUAGGAACUUUCUGACCGAAUUUGGGAUUUUUUACCAACUGGCUGAACCGGUUUGGAACCAGUUCAACCGGUUUGGAACCGGUUCAACCGGUUCAGCACCAUAGCUGGCAGCCUCUGUCAGCCAUGAGGAACACUUGCCUUUCUUUGUCUGGUUCUCACUCAUCCAGGCUCGGAAUUGAGAACCGUUUCUUUUGUUUGCUUCCUUAAUCACUUAGGAACUUUCUGACCGAAUUUGGGAUUUUUUAACAACCGGCUGAACUGGUUUGGAACCGGUUCAACCGGUUCAGCACCAUAGCUAGCAACCUCUGUCAGCCAUGAGGAACACUUGCCUUUCUUUGUCUGGUUCUCACUCAUCCGGGCUCGGAAUUGAGAACCGUUUCUUUUGUUUGCUUCCUUAAUCACUUAGGAACUUUUUGACUGAAUUUGGGAUUUUUUACCAACUGGCUAAACCGGUUCAGCACCAUAGCUGGCAGCCUCUGUCAGCCAUGAGGAACACUUGCCUUUCUUUGUCUGGUUCUCACUCAUCUGGGCUCGGAAUUGAGAAUCGUUUCUUUUGUUUGCUUCCUUAAUCACUUAGGAACUUUCUGACCGAAUUUGGGAUUUUUUAUCAACCGGAUGAACUGGUUGGGAACCAGUUCAAUAGGUUCAGCACCGUAGCUGGCUGCCUCUGUCAGUCAUGAGGAACACCUGCCUUUCUUUGUCUGGUUCUCACUCAUCCGGGCUCAGGAUUGAGUGUCGUUUCUUUUGUUUGAAUCCUCACUCAUUUAGGAGUUUUCUAGAAAAAUUUGGGAAUUCUUCUCAAUAGGUUGUACCAGUUGAGAACUAGUUCAACCUGUUCUGUUGGAGGACUUUAGGAAGCCCUCGAUUUUGGCAUUUUUCGAGCCCUUAUCCAUGGGGGCUCAAACCCUUUUGCUAUAGGGCACUUGUGAGCCAUCUUGAAGGUUUAAGUCAGUGUUUGAUUUCAGUUAGUAUGGGCAAUUUUGAAGUUAUGGGUGGUGUGGUCUAGAUGAGUCUAGUUUGAUUUGUAUGACAUUUGGGGAGUCCCUUACCUCAUUUCAACCAACUAUCUUCCUUUUUUGGCACAAGCUUUGAUGCUUGAUUUUGAAUGCAUGUUGCAUGACUGACUCACCCUCUGCUGCAGCGCUUGGCUAGGGACCACAGGUACGCAUCGUUGGCUUUGGUUGUCGAAUUCAUAUGCAUGCAUGGUGCUUAAUCUUGAAUGUUUGUUAUGUGUUUAUCUGUGUUUGGCUGACCUUUUAUGCAGCGCUUGGCUAGGGACCACAGGUACGCACCCAUUGUUUUGUUUGGUUGAAUUCAUAUGCAUGCCAAAUACCAAUUAGGAUUGUGUGAUUCAUGACAUCUAUUUAGCCUAGGGUUUCAUUUGACCUUUGACCCAUAUGCUCCCACAUACCCAAUUCAUUAGUAAAAACCGAGUUUCGGGCCUAGAGGGGUGCUACCUCGCAUGAGGUACCUUCCCAACGGGUAACCUGAUCCCCGGACCCAGAAUCUAGUUUUCGUAGACCACUUUUUCCAUACUGGGGUCAUUAGGGGUUUUUGUUCUUACUUAAUUUUCCCCAUUUUAAAAACAAAAAUAAAAAGUAAGUGGCGACUCCAAGCAACACCGUUCCUCACCGGGGGCGGGUUUUUCAAAACUGGAAAACACCAACUUUUUCAUUUCUUUCUUUUCUUUUAAAAGCGAGUCGCGUCGGUCCGGUGGAUCGGGUGAGGGUCCACAAUAUCUUUAAUUGCUACUUUGAAAAUCUUUUGACCUAAACACACUUAACAUAAAACAUUAAUUCCAAACCUUAUUUUGUUAUCAUCAAAAUUGAAAUUAACCAAACUUUGGUUUCACACCUAUUUUAAUUUCCUCAUUUAUUAUCCACUUUUUUUUAAAAAAAAAAUAUUUUAAGAAUAUUAUAAUAUAUAUAUAGAUAUAUAAACUUAGGUUUAUUCAUACAAAUUGAUAUAAAAAUAUCAUUUAAAAUCAAUAAACUUUUUAUAUUUAGAUAAAUAUCUAAAAAUAAAAUUUAACUUAAAAAAGAAAUGAUGUAAAAAGAUUGUAAAUAAUCAAAAAUAAAAAAAAGCAGGGCCUUGUAAAACUAUUUUUAAUUGAAAUUUUUUUAAGCAUUUAACUUCCCAUAAAAUGAAAAAUUUUUAGAUCUAAAUUUCUUAGUUUUAAAAAUAUUUAACAUAAUAUUAUAUCCAGUUACCAGAAAAUGGCUAGAAGGAAAAAUAAAUAAAAUAGAAAAAGUCUAACUAUUUUUUUUAUGUUUAAAUAAUAUGGACAAAAAUAAGAAAAAAAAGGUAAAAUAUUAAAAUAUUUUCCUCCUUAUUUUUCUAAGAAAAGCUGAAAUAAGUACAGAAAAAAAUUAUAAUUUUCUUUAAUUUUGCGUUUUUUUCUUCAAACUUUCCACAACCAGCCACAUGGUCUAAGUGAAAGCAUAAAUUAUAAAAAUUUUAUCUGUCUACGCAGUUUAAAAGCUUUGCCAAAUUGGGUCUUGGUAGACUUUAAAAAUACAAAAUAAAUUGAUCAGAUGGUUACAUAUAUAUAUAAGUCUUGAUAGCGCCCUGAUAAUGAGGCUACAACUUAGGAAUUACGUGUCCAAUUGCCAUGCUUGGAAAAAUCAAAAUGAUGGCUUUGUUGGAUGAAUCUAGAUGAAGUUUGGCCUACAUAUAAGGAAGAAUAACAUCAUGGUCGCUGGUGGUAGGCAUCAAUUCCGGGACAACCAUGAGCUUGUGCUGGAAAAUUCAGUAGACCCUCCAUUAGUGUAAUCUCUUAAUUGCCUUAACUUCUCUCCAUUUAAAGGCAAAGACUGGACUCAGUGGUAUGGCAUUGGGAUAGACCCAGAGUUCAGCUCAGUCCUAGGGCCCAAUUAAAGUUCUAGAUUGGGUUGAGUCUUAUAUAAAAGUGACAAUCUCUAUUUGUUAAUCUUUGUGUCAACUUAAUUUAUACUAUUAUUACUCAUGUAACCUAAUUCAUAUUUUAAAUCUAAUCUAUAUCACAAUUUAUUCUAAUAUUUUUGGAUGAUGCACAUCAAUUUGAAAAUUUUUGGUGUGUAUCAUAGCUCUUAAUAGCUCAAAUUUAUGUUACAUCCCUAUUCAAGACUUUCUCACAAUUUUCAAGUUUUGUAGUGCUUUUAUUAAAAGUGUGAUGAGCUUAGUGAGCGCAAGUAGGGGUUAUAAGGGUCAUUUUGAGCAUUUUUAGUAACUUCUAUGAAUUUUGGAAGGACAGGGGAGCCCAAAAGCAAGAGUAAAUUAGCAAGCUAAGCAAAACACAAUUAGCAUCUCCACAAGCUCGAUUCCAACUAGUUUUGAGUUUGGAGUUAUUUGAAAGGGUUAUAUGCAUCUUAAUAGAGUGGUAAAUUUUAUCAAGUUCUAGACUCUAAUAGGGAAGAAAAGGGGAGUUAGAGAUUUUAUUUUUAAAACAAAGAAAAUACCAUUGCAAGAUAGUAGCAUAAACUUCAACUUAAAUAUAAAAAACAGAACAAAAAAUAGCUAAUCUAAUAUUUGCUUUUUAAUUACAUCAAUUUACUAACUUUCCUAUAAGUGAGCCAACUUUAUUAUUAUUAGAUCAUCUAGUGAAAUAUCUCUCUUUUAUUUUGAUAACUUAGUUUUAGAUCAAGUUUUGAUAAUCUCAUCUAAAAAUUAAUUGGUAUCUUGAGGUUGGACUAAGUCUUUUAUAACAUUCAACCACCAUCAUCUGGGUGACCCAUCCAUUGAGCUUAAAGAGUGAAGUUGUUACACCCCAACAAUCUCUCCACUAACAUGAUGCUUCCCCGGCUUUAACUCAAGACAUUGACUUUGAUACCAAUUCGUGGAUCAAACUUUGAUCAUCUUAUUUGAAGACCAAUUGAUUUUUAGAUGAGAUGAUUAAAACUUAAUUCAAGACUUAGAAAGGUAUUUAUCAGUUCCUUCCCCUUAAAAAAACCUUGUCCUCAAGGUUGGAAGUAAGGAAAAUGACUAAUAAGCUUAUGCCAAUCUCCCUAGCUAGCAUCUUUUAGGGAAGAAUUAAAAUAAUGAACAAGAAUUGGAUCUUUGAAUUGUUCCCAUGUUUGAUAGCAUGUUGAUCAAGAAUUCUGAUUAGUUCAAACAACAUCUGUCCUUUAUCAUUAAUGGCUGGUAGCUCAAGUUUUGCAGUGUUUUUUCUAGCCAAUGGAUCUUUUUCUUUAAACCAGAUAGUGAAUUUUUGAAUGGGAAAGCAAUUCCAAAUAAUAAGCAACUACUCCUAUAUGGAAAUUCACCCUAAAAGGCCUAUAAAACCUUAGAGACAGCUAAUUGAUGCAUGGAAAGGCCACAUAGGCUUAUUAGUCUGGUUAUAGGUACAAUUACACCAUACCUCUCACAUCAAAAGACCUUUCUAUAUGAUGUUGAUUAGCUUGCUGAUUCAUAUGGCGUUGAGCCUUCUCCAAAUUUUCUUUCAAUAGUAGUAAGAUGGCAUGCAUUUCGAUCCGUAAGCGCUUGGCCUAUUGAUACUGCCUUGGUGUCACCUCGUGCAUACAUGGGCAGAGAUGACGAACUCUGACCAUAAUCCAUUUUAUGUAGAAUGAGCCUGAUGGCAGUGUGGAAGGAAGUAUUGAACCACCAUUCAACAAAUGGUAACUAAGGAGACCACUUUUUAGGAUGAUUGCCCAUGACACAAUAAAGAGAAUUUUUCAAACAAUGAUAAAGGCUCUUUUUAGGAAUUGUUUUUUAAAACACUUUUUGGUUCUUCAGAAAAAAAAAAAAAAAAAUUGAAAACAAUAUUUGACAACUGGAAAAUAGAAUUUUUUUUUUGGGACUAUUUUAACUUGUUUUAAAAAAUAAUUAUAUAAUAAAUACAUAAAAUUUAUUUUUAAAACAUAUUUAAAAAAAAUAGAAAACAUAUAUGUUAAGAAUAUUUCAUAUUCCAAAUUGACUUUUGUUAUACAACUUAAUGAAUUAAUAUGAUUUAAUGAUUUAAUUUAAGCCAUUGAGUAAAUUAAAUAUCUUUGGUAAAAUAAUUUAAUAUUACAAUUUAAAAUUACUUUUAACAUUAAAUAUUAAAUCAAAAAAAUUAACUCAUUUUUAAUUUUAAAUCUUUUUUGUUUUAUUUAACCCUAAAGUAUAUUUUAACAUUAUGAUUUUACAUCUAUGAUUCUUUUUUAAAAUAAAUAUUUUAUGGUUAUCAUACCCAUCUACAAUAUUUUAAAUAUGAAUAUUGUCUAAAUAAAAAUUACUUAAAAUUAUUGAAAAUAAAUAUGAGUUGAAAUCAAGGAAGAUAAAUAUUCAUUAAAAUUAAUAAGGGUAAAUAUGUUAAUUUGAUAAUUUAAAAUAAACUUUAAGUUAACUUUAUCAAAUACCUUAAGUAAAAUAAGUAAUAAAUUUUAAGUCAAUCACUUAAAAAUAAUUUAAUUUAAAGUUAACUUAAGUAAUUAAGUAAUAAAUAUCAAAUUUUAUCAAACACUUGAAACUCUAUAUCUUAUGAAAAAUUGUUUUUUUAGAACUACUUUUAAAAACGCUUUCUAAACAAAGCAUAAUCCUUAGUUUUUCCAUGAGAUUGUAGAUGAUAUGAUGAACUCAUAUAAAGUUGAGUGCUGCUCAAAGAGAGCUUGCCAGAAUAUGCUAGUAUAUAUGGGAUCUCUGUUGCUAACAAUGGUAGUGGGCAUGUCCAACAAGUGAACAACAUGUUGGAUAAAAAUCUUAGUAACUUCCUUGGCUGAAUAUCGAUGUCUUAAAGCAAUAAAGUAAUGGUAUUUUCUUAAUAUAUCCUUCAUGAGGAAAAUGGCAUCUUUCCCAUGUGAGCGAGGAAGUCAUCCAUUGAUAAAAUUCAUGGUUGUCAUGUAAUAUUGCAGCCUAGAGAGAAAAAUGUACAACUCAAGACCAGGGAACCCUUGUACUGUAGUUGAUUUUGCAAUAUCGCCAAGAAUACCCCCAUUUGGCAUUUGGCAUUUGGGUCAACAAUAUUAAGUCUUUGUAUUAGUUAUUGUAGUUAAGGGUCUUGCUGCUAUUUUUCCUUGGAAGUAUAUCAAGCCAAUUAAUAGUAGACAAGGAUAGGGUCAUGACUUUCAAUAUUGAACAUACUCUAUAACGGACAAAGCCAGAGAGAAAUAAGAGAAUUGUAUGAGGGUUUAAAUGUUUAUUAAAGAUAUUUGGUGGUAGAAAUUAUCCUUUUAUUCUCACAAUCACUUGAAGUUGGAGCAUGUGACACGGCAUGGAUCGAUGUGUUAGGCAUGGCCCCCACGUGCCUUCGAUGGGAGAUAUCCCUUCCAUACCUUCUCAGGUUAUAAAUGAGGAAAAAUGUCUCUUCCCAUAUGCUUUUCUGUAUCUCAAAUAUAUCAAUUCUAGAAGGAUUGAAACUCAACCAAGCCUUUCAAAUAGGUGAUCAUCCAAUGAACCAGAUUUAAGGCCAUUAGUCCACCCAGUACUUGUUCCUGCAAUGAUAUCCCACAAUGAUGUCUUCAAAGUUGGCCAUAUCCCACUACUUGAUCUAGACUCUCAGAUUUAUUGUGCUGUGAUAUUAGAUCAUAGGGGAGCUAGCUAAUCAAAUUUGAAUCCUUUUCCAUAUCCUAAUUUUUUUGUCAAUUCCUUUGUAUUGACUUUUAAUUAAUAGGGUUAAUUUAUAGUCCCGAUUUCCUUGAACAAUGAAUGUUAAUGAAAAUUAUUACCUACAUAUACAACAAAUAAUCAUAUUUCUUAUAAUACUACUAUGUCCCUUUUUUCAUAAGAUCAGCAGGAUAACCCUGGAAAUUAAGACAAAGAAAACAAGGAGCCGACAUGCUUUGAAGUACUACUAUGAAUUUAUUAUACUUGGAAAUUAAGCAUCUCUCUUGAGUAUUUUUGAGUACAGAAGGAGAAUAAAACAAGAUCUUACUGAAAAACUACCUCAAUUAUAUCUUCCUUGGUCAGCUAAAAGCACAAAGUUGAUCUUAUUUGCACUGACCCAUGGUAUAUAUGCUGAUCAGCUUAUUACAUAUAUGUAGUACUUGCUUAGAGGUCGUUUCAUAAUGUUUAAUAAGGCCGUUGUCCCACAUAGUUGCCCGGUGGAUCGUAGUUGCAUGUGACGAACCACCACCCAUUGUUGCACUGAACCCUGGCGCACCCAAGGCGAACUGAGUUGCUCCAAACAACCUGAGUAUAGUGCAGGCACUCCCCACCAACGCAUGAGUUGGAGUUGUAGUCAUAAUUAGGCUUCUCCCCCACCCACAAGUUCACCGCAUCGGUGCCUGUCAAUGAACCACUGCCCUUGGCCAGGUUCUCACCAUAAGGCCCACCUGAGUGCACUAGAUUGCAGUCGCUAAUCCUCUUGUUAGCAUAGUUCUGGGCGUAGGCAGCUACAGUGUCGUUCCAUGUCAUAGACCCAACGCCAACUUGUGCCCGUGCUGCAUUGUGAGCAUUGACGUAGUCCUGUGGAGAGUUCUGGGCACAACAGACGUGAGCUAGGGCUAAUCCCAUGAGACCAACAAGAAGUGGCAAUGAAAUCUUACACAACCCCAUCCUUUUUAGUUUCUUUGAUGAGAAGUGAGGUUAUUGAUGAGAAAUGAGGCUUGGUUUGAAGGGUAUUUAUAGGGGAGACAGAAGCAUCAUAAUCUCUAAGUCAUGCCCUCCCAAACUUCCCCCUUGGACACAGUCUUUGUGGUCGCCUUCACACGUAAAGAUCAACGACUGAAAAAAUAGUUAGCACUAAGAUCAAAAUGACUUCCAUGCAUGUUCAAUUUUUUCUUAAGGAGUAAUCAACAAUAUUGAAAAUUCUUUGUGUUUUGGAUAUCUUCUAGGGUUUACCCCUGGCGGCCAGACCAGUUUGAUCAAGACUCGUGAACUUCCUUCUAAAAGAACAUGUAUAAAGAAUUAAAAGGGAAAAACAAGUGUUGAUGUUAAAUCAAAAUUAUUUUAACAAUCUUAGAUGCUGAAAUUCUUGACAUUGAUCAGCUAGUAUUUUUUUUUUUUUGAUUCAAAAUAAAACAGCACAAUGGAAUCACAUUUUUUCAGUUCAAAAAAUGGGUAUUUAAAUAUAAUUUAAAAUCAAUAAACUUUUUAUAUCCAGAUAAAUAUCUAAAAAUAAAAAUUUAACUUAAAAAGUAAAUGAUGUUAAAAAGAUUGUAAAUAGAUACAAAUAAAAACUAGUAGGGCCUUGUAAAACUAUUUUUAAUUGAAUUUCUUUUAAGCAUUUUAACUUCCCAUAAUAUGAAAAACUUCUAGAUCCAAAUUUCUCAGUAUUAAAAAUAUUUAACAUGUGAUAUUAUAUUUGGUUCCUAGGAAAUGCAAGAAGGAAAAAAACAAAAAGUCUAAUUAUUUUUUUAUUUUUAAAUAAUGUGGACAAAAAUAAGCAAAAUACAAAAUAAGUUGAUCAAAUGGUUAUAGAUAUAGAAGUCUUGAGAGCGCCCUGAUAAUGAGGCUACAACUUAGGAAUUACGUUUCCAAUUGCCAUGCUUGGAAAAGUCAAAUGAUGGCUUUGUUGGAUGAAUCUAGAUGAAGUUUGGCCUACAUAUAAGGAAGAAUGACAUCAUGGUCACUGGUUGUAGGCGUCAAUUCCGGGACAGCCAUGAGCUUGUGAUGGAAAAUUCACCAGACCCUCCGUUAGUGUAAUCUCUUAACUACCUCAACUUACUCAACCGCUCUCCAUAUAAAGGCAAAGACUGGAGUCAGUAGUAAGGGAUUGGGGUAGACCCAGAGUUCAGCUCAGUCUAGGGCCCAUUUAAAGUUCUGGAUUGGGUUGAGUCUUACAUAAAAGCGGAUAAGCUCUAUUUGUUAAUCUGUGUCAACUUAAUUUAUACUAUUGUUACUCAUUUAACCUAAUUCAUAUCUUAAAUCUAAUCUAAAUUACAAUUUAUUCUAAUAUUUUUGGAUGAUGCACAUCAAAAAAUGUUUCAUACUGUAUAUAUUUUCUAUCAUUUGAAAAUUUUUGGAGUGUAUCAUAGCCCCUAAUAGCUCAAAUUUAUGUUACAUUCCUAUUCAAGACUUUCUCACAAUUUUCAUGUCUGUAGUGUUUAUUAAAAGUAUGAUGAGCUUUGUGAGCACAAGUACAGGUUAUAAGGGUCAUUUUGAGCAAUUUUAGUAACCUCUAUGGGUUUUGGAAGGAGAGGGGAGGCCAAAAGUAAGAGUAAAUAUGCAAGAUAAGUAAAACUCAAUUAGCAUCUCCACAAGCUCGAUUCUAACUAGUUUUGAGUUUGGAGUUGUUUGAAAGGGUUAUAUGCAUCCAAAUAGAGUAAGGUAAAUUUUAUCAAGUUCUAGACUCUAAUAGGGAAGAAAAGGGGGGUUAGGAGAUUUUAUUUUUGAAACAAAGAAAAUACCAUUGCAAGAUAACAACAUAAAGUUCCACUUAAAUAUGAAAAAGGGAAUAAAAAAUAGCUAAUCUACUAUUGCUUUGUAAUUACAUCAAUUUGCUGACACUUCCUAUAAGUGAGCCAACUAUAUUAUUAUUGGAUCAUCUCCUGAAAUUUCUCUCUUUUAUUUUGAUAACUAAGUCUUAGAUCAAGUUUUGACCAUCUCAUUUAAAAAUUAAUUGGUUCUAAGUUUUUUAUGACAUCAUUGUUAUUUGGGUAACCCAUUCAUUAGAAAGUGAUAUGAUUAGACCCCAAAAAUCCCUCCACCAAUAGAAGGCUUUCAUGGCUCUAAUCCAUGACAUUGACUUUGAUAUCAAUUUUAGAUUGAACUUUGAUCAUUUCAUCUUAAAACCAAUUGAUUUUUAGAUGAGAUAAUCAAAACUCGAUUUAAAACUUAGGAAAUUACUUAACCGUUCAUUCUUCUUGAAAAAGCCUUAUUCUCAAGGUUUGAAGUGAGUAAAACAACUAAUAAGCCUAUGCUAAUCUUCCUAUCUAGCAACUUUUGGGAAAUAAUUAAAAUAAUGACAAAAUGCCACAGCCUUAUUAUUAGGGCUACAAGUGCCGUUACCCCAUAUCUGCCACAUCAAAAGACCUUUCCAUAUGAUGUUGAUUAGCUUGCCUACUUAUAUGGUGUUGAGUCUUCUCUAAAUUUUCUUUCAAUAGAAGUAAGAUGGCAUGCAUUUCAAUCAUCAAGCGCUUGCCCUAUUGAUAUCACCUUGGUGUCACCUCCCCCAUACAUAGGCAAAGAAGAUGAACUCUGACGAUAAUCUAUUUUAUAUAGAAUGAGCUCGAUGGCAGUGUGGAAGGAAGUUUUGAAGUUUUUAGGAUGAUUGCCCAUUACACAAUAAAGAGAAUUUUUUAAACAAUGAUUAAGGCUGUAUUUGGAAAUUGUUUUUUAAAACACUUUUUAGGUAUUCAAAAUAAAAAAAAAUAGAAAAACAUAUUUUACAAUGGGAAAGUAGAAAAUAUUUUUUAAUUAUUUUUACAUAUUUUUUAAUGAUUAUUUUAAAAAUAACAUGAAAAGUGAGUUUUAACUUACUAAUUUAAAACCCCAAAUUUUAUAAAUUAUAUUUAGUUUUUAUUCAUUUAAAAAUAUUUUAAAAUACAUACAUUUUUCCAUUUGUCAAAUAAUUAGUUUCUAAAAUGACCCUUUUAUUUAUUAGGUUAAUAAUACCAAUUGAUGAAUUUUUUUUUUUACAAGAAUUGUUCUGACCUCAAUAAAAUAAAAAAUUUUAAAAUUUAAAAUUAAAACUAAAAAAACUUUAAAACUAAAGACAUAAAAUAAAAUAUUAACUUUCAUUUUGAAUUGUGACAAGUAUGCUUGAUACGAGAUAAGUCUUGUGGACAACAGAAUGACCUCCAAUGGGGCUAUCAUGGUUGUCAUGUAAUAUUUCAGCCUUGUACUGUAGUUGAUUAUGCAUUAGCCAAUAUACCCCCUUUUGGCAUUUGGGUCAACAAUAUUAAGUUUUUGUAUUAGUCGUUGUUGUUAAGGGUCUUGCUGCCAUUUUUCCUUGGAGGUAUCGAGCCAAUUAAUAAUAGACAAGGAUAGGGUCUUGACUUUCUAUAAUAAACAUAUUCUAUGACGGACAAAGAGAGAGAGAAAUAAGAGAAUUGUAUGGGUGACUUUCUAUUAUAAAUCUUUAUUAAAGAUAUUUGGUGGUAGAAGAAAGUUUUAAGUAAUUUUUUUAAUAAUUAGUCUUUUAUUCUCACGAUCACCUGAAGUUGGAGAAUGUGACACGGCAUGAAUCAAUGUGUUAGGCAUGACUUCCACGUGCCUUGGAUGGGAGAUAUCCCUUCCAUAAGGAAAAAUAUCUCUUCCCAUAUGCAUUUUGGUGUCUCAAGUACAUCGAGUCUAGGAGGAUUGAGGGAAACUCAACCAAGCCUUUCAUUUGGGUGACCAUCCACUGAACCAGAUUUAGGCGCAUUAGUCCACCCACUACUUGUUCCUGCAAUGAUAUCCCCCAAUGACGUGUCAAAGUUGGCCAUGUCCCACUACUUGAUCUAGACGCUCAGCUUUGUUGUGCUGUGAUAUUAGAUCAUAGAGGAACUAGCUAAUCAAAUUUGAAUCCUUUUCCAUAUAUAUAUAUAUAUAUAUAUAUCCUAAAUUCUUUGUCAGUUCCUUGUAUUAACUUUAAUUAAUAGGGUUUAUAGUCCCAAUUUCCUUGAAAUUUCUUAUAAUACUACUGUGUCCUUUUUUCAUAAGAUCAGCAGGAUAACCCUGGAAAUUAAGACAAAGAAAAAAGAGAAGCCAACAUGCUUUGAAGUAUAACUAUGAAUUUAUUGUACUUGGAAAUUAAGCAUCUCUCUUGAGUACAGGAGGAGAAUAAAGCAAGAUCUUACUGAAAAGCCACCUUAAUUAUGUCUUCCUUAGUCAACUAAACGCACAAAGUUUUAUUUGUACUGACCUAUGGUAUAUAUCCUGAUCAGUAUAUUACAUAAAUGUAGUACUUUGCUUAGAGGUAGUUCCAAGAAGUUUAAUAAGGAUGUUGUCCCUGAUAGUUGCCCGGUGGAUCGUAGUUGCAUGUGACGAACCACCCUCCACUGUUGCAUUGAACCCUAGCGCACCCAAGACGCACUGAGUUGCUCCAAACAACCUGAGUAUAGUGUCGGCAUUCCCCACCCACGCAUGAGUUGGAGUUGUAGUCAUAAUAAGGCUUCUCGGCCACCCACAUGUUCACUGCAUCGGUGCCUGUCAAUGAAGGGCUGCCCCAGGCAAGGUUCUCACCGUAAGGCCCACCUGAAUGCACUAGAUUGCAGUCGCCAAUCCUCUGGUUAGCAUAGUUCUGGGCGUAGGUAGCCACAGUGUCGUCCCAUGUCAUAGACCCAACACCAACUUGUGCCCGCGCUGUAUUGUGAGCAUUGACGUAGUCCUGUGGAGAGUUCUGGGCAUAGCAGGUGUGAGCUAGAGCUAACCCCAUGAGACCAACAAGGAGUGGCAAUGAAAUCUUACACAACCCCAUCUUUUUUAGUUUCUAUGAUGAGAAGUGAG
rnacentral:lncRNA from 1 species